rnacentral:tRNA from 1 species
UGGUAAGAAAAGGAGUUUAACCUCUCUGAGUGGGACUACAGCCCACCGCCUAAACACUCGACCACCUUACC